GAUGAACGCUAGCUACAGGCUUAACACAUGCAAGUCGAGGGGAAACGAUAUUGGAAGCUUGCUUCCGAUAGGCGUCGACCGGCGCACGGGUGAGUAACGCGUAUCCAACCUGCCCACCACUUGGGGAUAACCUUGCGAAAGUAAGACUAAUACCCAAUGAUAUCUCUAGAAGACAUCUGAAAGAGAUUAAAGAUUUAUCGGUGAUGGAUGGGGAUGCGUCUGAUUAGCUUGUUGGCGGGGUAACGGCCCACCAAGGCGACGAUCAGUAGGGGUUCUGAGAGGAAGGUCCCCCACAUUGGAACUGAGACACGGUCCAAACUCCUACGGGAGGCAGCAGUGAGGAAUAUUGGUCAAUGGGCGAGAGCCUGAACCAGCCAAGUAGCGUGCAGGAUGACGGCCCUAUGGGUUGUAAACUGCUUUUAUAAGGGAAUAAAGUGAGUCUCGUGAGGCUUUUUGCAUGUACCUUAUGAAUAGGACCGGCUAAUUCCGUGCCAGCAGCCGACGG
rnacentral:rRNA from 1 species